UUUCUUCAUGAGUAAUUUGCCAUCCUAUCCCAUAAUCCUUCAGGCUGACUAGGUGUGUUUGAAGAUCAUCUGGAGGCUUACAGAUGACUCAGGUGGCCAUGAAAUGAAAAGGGGGGAUUUAGAUCUUAAGGGGAUUAAAACUAUAACCGACUUUGGUCUUGUCUCCAUCUUUAAGCAGCUUUUGUGGGUUAAUAGAAGCAAUUUCCCCCUUGAGUGAGCCAUGCACAGGCACUGGAAUUGGUUACUUCUAAGUAGCGGCAGACGAACGCCAGUGUACGGAAUGUGUGAUGUUAAUCCUCUCCGCUCCGGCACAGAAGAAAUCCAAUUUCCAAACAGUUCUGGGGGAAGAAAGACUGGUUCUGAGGAAACAACCACGAAACAAGCCGCUGCAGUCAACAGUUUAAACACCCGAUGUAAAAUGUGCAAGCUUCUGGACAAGAGCCUCUCUCUGAUAGGCUACAAAAUAUGUUAAUGGGAGUUGAUGAGAACUGGAUGCAGAAAAACCAUUACAUCCUCAACUGUUGGCUGAAGGAAAAUCCUUUUCCUUGACAAGAUCUGAGUAAAUGCUUGCUCUUAGCAAAA